rnacentral:rRNA from 1 species
GAUGAACGCUGGCGGCGUGCCUAAUACAUGCAAGUCGAGCGAACAGACGAGGAGCUUGCUCCUCUGACGUUAGCGGCGGACGGGUGAGUAACACGUGGAUAACCUACCUAUAAGACUGGGAUAACUUCGGGAAACCGGAGCUAAUACCGGAUAAUAUAUUGAACCGCAUGGUUCAAUAGUGAAAGACGGUUUUGCUGUCACUUAUAGAUGGAUCCGCGCCGCAUUAGCUAGUUGGUAAGGUAACGGCUUACCAAGGCAACGAGGCGUAGCCGACCUGAGCGGGUGAUCGGCCACACUGGAACUGAGACACGGUCCAGACUCCUACGGGAGGCAGCAGUAGGGAAUCUUCCGCAAUGGGCGAAAGCCGGACGGAGCAACGCCGCGUGAGUGAUGAAGGUCUUCGGAUCGUAAAACUCUGUUAUUAGGGAAGAACAAAUGUGUAAGUAACUAUGCACGUCUUGACGGUACCUAAUCAGAAAGCCACGGCUAACUACGUG